rnacentral:rRNA from 1 species
UGCAGUCGAACGAUACCUUCCAGCUUGCUGGAGGGAAAAGUGGCGCACGGGUGCGUAACGCGUAUGCAACCUACCUUAAUCAGGGGGAUAGCCCGGAGAAAUCCGGAUUAACACCGCAUAAAAACACAGGAUAGCAUUAUCCAAUGUUCAAAUAUUUAUAGGAUUAAGAUGGGCAUGCGUGUCAUUAGCUAGUUGGCGGGGUAACGGCCCACCAAGGCGACGAUGACUAGGGGAUCUGAGAGGAUGACCCCCCACACUGGUACUGAGACACGGACCAGACUCCUACGGGAGGCAGCAGUAAGGAAUAUUGGUCAAUGGAGGCAACUCUGAACCAGCCAUGCCGCGUGCAGGAAGACUGCCCUAUGGGUUGUAAACUGCUUUUAUCCGGGAAUAAACCUCUUUACGUGUAGAGAGCUGAAUGUACCGGAAGAAUAAGGAUCGGCUAACUCCGUGCCAGCAGCCGCGGUAAUACGGAGGAUCCAAGCGUUAUCCGGAUUUAUUGGGUUUAAAGGGUGCGUAGGCGGCCUGUUAAGUCAGGGGUGAAAGACGGUAGCUCAACUAUCGCAGUGCCCUUGAUACUGAUGGGCUUGAAUGGACUAGAGGUAGGCGGAAUGAGACAAGUAGCGGUGAAAUGCAUAGAUAUGUCUCAGAACACCGAUUGCGAAGGCAGCUUACUAUGGUCUUAUUGACGCUGAGGCACGAAAGCGUGGGGAUCAAACAGGAUUAGAUACCCUGGUAGUCCACGCCCUAAACGAUGAACACUCGCUGUUGGCGAUACACAGUCAGCGGCUAAGCGAAAGCGUUAAGUGUUCCACCUGGGGAGUACGGUCGCAAGAUUGAAACUCAAAGGAAUUGACGGGGGCCCGCACAAGCGGAGGAGCAUGUGGUUUAAUUCGAUGAUACGCGAGGAACCUUACCCGGGCUUGAAAGUUAGUGAAUGAUUUAGAGAUAGAUCAGUCCGCAAGGACACGAAACUAGGUGCUGCAUGGCUGUCGUCAGCUCGUGCCGUGAGGUGUUGGGUUAAGUCCCGCA